GGCCCCUGUGGUGUAGUGGUAGCACGCGUUUUCGGAAUGGACGAAACGCGGGUUCAACUCCCGUCUAAGGUCG